AUAUCCAGUGAUGACAUUAUACCGCCCCAGACUGAAUAUCAUGUUGAAGGUAUUCUCUGAUGGAAA